rnacentral:lncRNA from 1 species
GUUUUUUUCACAUAGCUUUGCUAAUAUAAUCAUCAAAUAUACUAGAUAUUACUUAGUAUAUGAUCAAGAGCUGUAAAAACAUAAUUUGAAACAUAUAUUGAAUUUGCUUUAAUAUUGGUUCGUGUUUUCUAACAUUUUUAUUUUGUUUUGCGGAUGAAAUUUCGAAGAUUCUGUUUUAAAUCCUAGAGGUUGUAGAAACAUCGUGUCCAACGUUUGUAAGUAGAAAGAGAGCUAUCAAUAUAUAUUUCAAUUCACCCUUAUUACACGAAGGCAUGUAGUUGGGCGCUGGUUUAUAGGUAGGAUGUAUGUCAGUCCUCAUAUAAUU